UACGUAGGGUGCGAGCGUUGUCCGGAAUUACUGGGCGUAAAGAGCUCGUAGGCGGCUUGUCGCGUCGACUGUGAAAACCCACGGCUUAACUGUGGGCUUGCAGUCGAUACGGGCAGGCUAGAGUUCGGUAGGGGAGACUGGAAUUCCUGGUGUAGCGGUGAAAUGCGCAGAUAUCAGGAGGAACACCGGUGGCGAAGGCGGGUCUCUGGGCCGAUACUGACGCUGAGGAGCGAAAGCGUGGGGAGCGAACAGG
rnacentral:rRNA from 1 species